rnacentral:rRNA from 1 species
UACAGAGGUCUCAAGCGUUGUUCGGAUUCAUUGGGCGUAAAGGGUGCGUAGGUGGCGGGGGUAAGUCAGGUGUGAAAAUCUCGGAGCUCAACUCCGAAACUGCACUUGAUACUGCCUUGCUCGAGUACUGGAGAGGAGAUUGGAAUUUACGGUGUAGCAGUGAAAUGCGUAGAUAUCGUAAGGAAGACCAGUGGCGAAGGCGGCAUCCUGGCCCACGACUGACACUCAGACACGACAGCAUGGGGAGCGAACGGG